GACGAACGCUGGCGGCGUGCUUAACACAUGCAAGUCGAGCGGUAAGGCCCUUUCGGGGGUACACGAGCGGCGAACGGGUGAGUAACACGUGGGUGACCUGCCCUCAGCUCUGGGAUAAGCCCGGGAAACUGGGUCUAAUACCGGAUAUGACUUCAUGACGCAUGUUGUGGAGUGGAAAGCCUUGUGCGGCUGAGGAUGGGCCCGCGGCCUAUCAGCUUGUUGGUGGGGUGAUGGCCUACCAAGGCGACGACGGGUAGCCGGCCUGAGAGGGCGACCGGCCACACUGGGACUGAGAUACGGCCCAGACUCCUACGGGAGGCAGCAGUGGGGAAUCUUGCGCAAUGGGCGAAAGCCUGACGCAGCGACGCCGCGUGA
rnacentral:rRNA from 1 species